GCGGCACUAGCUCAGCUGGAUAGAGUGUUUGGCUACGAACCAAAAGGUCGGGGGUUCGACUCCUCCGUGCCGCG
rnacentral:tRNA from 2 species